rnacentral:rRNA from 1 species
ACGGUCCAGACUCCUACGGGAGGCAGCAGUAGGGAGUUUUCGGCAAUGGGGGGAACCCUGACCGAGCAACGCCGCGUGAGUGAUGAAGGUCCUCGGAUCGUAAAGCUCUGUUAUAGAGGAAGAACAGCAGUUAGAGGAAAUGCUAAUUGUCUGACGGUACUUUAUCAGAAAGCCACGGCUAACUACGUGCCAGCAGCCGCGGUAAUACGUAGGUGGCAAGCGUUAUCCGGAAUUAUUGGGCGUAAAGAGUGAGCAGGCGGCAGUUUAAGUUUGGAGUCAAAGCGUGGGGCUCAACCCCACUCCGCUCUGAAAACUGAACAGCUAGAGUGCGAGAGAGGUAAGUGGAAUUCCAUGUGUAG